UUUGUAUCCCAUUGCCAAUGAAACAGUUGGAAUUACUUCCCACCAAUCUAAAACAUAUUCGCAGCACCAACCUUGAAAUCUUGUAACAGCUUACUUCUGGAGGCAAUGAACAUUGUUUUUUUGAGGUUCGCACAGUAAUGACCACACACAACAUUACAUUACAUUACCAACAUUGUUUUUUUGAGGUUCGCGUAGUAAACAAACACAGAUACCCUUAUUUCACAGCACCAACCUUGAAAUCAUGUAACAUCUAACCAACCUUGCCUGAUGCAAACAUGAAGAAUAAAGACAAUCCAUGAUUUAAUUCAACCAUUAAAAUUUGAGGGUAAAGGAGAGGAUAAAUAAUUGCAGCUAUAUCAC
rnacentral:lncRNA from 1 species